rnacentral:lncRNA from 1 species
AAUAGUUAACAAAUGGAACCUUAUUGUUAAAGUGUUACCAAACAUAUUAAUUUCAAUCAAUCAAUCUUACUGACUCCAAAAGUCUGAAUGGUAGUGUAUGUCACACUUUGUAAGCACUUAUUGUUCAUGUAUAUCUUAGGUAAACUACUAUGAAAAAUCACAACACUAAUUAAGGGAUAAAACCAAAAAUAAGAGGAUAAACAAGACCUUUUGCAAGAAAAAGAUGGCACCUGUGUGAAGGAGUGUCCAACAGACACAUUUAAAGACUCCAGAGGGUGGCGCUGUCAGCCCUGUCACAGCUCCUGUCUGACCUGCCACAGCCCUGGAGUGAGAGACUGUAACAGAUGCAGUGACUGAAGCCCGCAAAUUUACAGGAAGUGCCUGGUGAUCAGCUGCCUGGAAGGCCAAUAUGUUGAUGAGGGAAGUCACACUUGCCAUUAUGAUAGAUCCUGCCUGACAUUACAGUCCCAAGGCUCAGAAUUGCAUCACAUGUGCUACCAGUACCCAACAGGAUACAUGUUGGAGCAGGAGGCCGUGUGUGUAGACUGCUG